AUCCCAUCACUUUAAAAGAAUUCUAACUAGUUCUGCCAGUAAUCAGCUCUCUUAUGGUCUACUCUUAGGUGAAGCUGAAGCUAACAAAGACCGCCAACAGCCAGGAACCUAAAAAUUCAGUGAAACUCUGCUUCAGCUUGCUGAAAGAAGAAAUCCUCCUUUAUCCCCAGGUGAAUGCUAAUGGCUUGAAUGAUGGUUUCUUGUCAGGACCUGUUAAUAAAGCAGUGCCCUAUGCUAUGCAAGGUGGUGGGUGAGUAGCUGGGCUCGAAGUCCGGACGAAGGCAAGCAGAAAAAGCAGAAAUUGAUCAUUCAGAGAAGAGCAGGUUAUUGUCAUCCGUUGCUAGCAUUUGGAUUCUCAAGACGAGUAUGUCAUGAGAAAUCACCAUGUGAAGACAACCAGUUUUCUCACCUUACUCAUUUCCUCUCAUCACUUCUUGCCUGCUGAUGGUGAGUGAUGUCAGAAAACAUGCAGGGCAAAGGAAUAUGAAGAAAGAGGUCAACAAGAUGACUACUGAGCAGAUAAAAGUCCUGGCUGAUAAGUUGAGGAUGAUCCCUGGCUUCACAAGGAAUAACUUCAGGAGUUGCAGAGUAAAGCUGAUGGAAAAGGGCCUCUUCAUGGACUAUUCUAGAACAAACCAGGAAAAGGGAACACAGGAAAGAAUGAACGGUAUGGAUCAUACCUGAUCCAGGUGAUUUGGAUGUACAGUUACAUGGACUCCAGGAGUCUUUUCUCAAGAGAAAAAUGAUCACUCUUGGGGUAGAAUUGCCUCACCUGAAGUGGGGGAGGGGAGGUUGAAGGUAUUUCUUCUCUUCUCCGAGUCAAGAACUGAUGACCUAGACAAACACCUUGACCAAAACAGGUCACUUGGUACUUUAAAUUAUAUGAUUUAUACAAACUCUUACAAGACUUGCAGCUGUUCUUUUGGGUGCUUUUGGAAGAGGUUUCUUCACCCACUCACCUCCAAAAGGGGGUCCUUAAAAUGUAGCAAAAUGAGGUAUAGGGAUUGAGACAAAGACCAAAGAGCCAUUUUAGAGAGGAUAACCUCAGGAUGAUUGAGGAAAACAAAUGGAGUUAAUGUCAAAAUUCUGUAAACUCAGAUGUUUACAAAGAGAGCUAAAUGAAUAGAAUAAUAGAGACAAAAAAGAACUCUGCAUUACCACAAUGCUUCCAAAUUAUUUCUUUUUACCUUGAGGCUAUCCAAUUUUUUUUUUCUACUCCCUUGCUUCUGAGUUUACUGGUAGAUGUGAGCCAAUUCUCACACGAUUGUCUUAUUAAAACGAUUCCUCUCACAGCACAAUUGGGGGGAAAUUAAUCAAAGAACCCAGUUCUUCAAUCCAAGCUGUCACAUAACCCACAAAGCCUACAAAUGGGAAUUUCCAUUCAAGUAGUUGCAAAACAGUCUUUAAUACUUCAUAUUGUCUAUUGAUGGUCAGCUUCUUUCUUCAGUCAAACAGAACAAUCUUGUUUUCUCUAAUGAGAAGAAAAUUAAGUUAUAUCUUAAAAGAAGGGGUUUAUUGUUUGUCUUUAGACAAUAGACACUAGAUACCACAGUGUAAUGAAAUAAAUGCAAGGAGGAAGGCGAAUUUCUCAAGCUUUUCUCACACAGCUCUACUUUAGCUGGAUAUUCCCCCCGAAAGCCUGUCCCUUUGCAGAAGAGAGUUCUUUAGCCCUACAUAUGCUACUCUGUCUAAGAGAUGUACAGUGCCCAUAAAAUAGCCAAGCUCUCAGAAUCCUGAAGUAAAGAAAGCCAUUUAAUCUCCGUUAACCCAAUAUUUCCAAAAUUUAUGAGUCUACAAAGCUUUUCAAAUGCAGUUUCUACCAUAACUCUGUGGAGUUAGUGAUAUGGAAUAUGCCUGGGGCGUACUCCUAUACAGACACUGCAAGCAUGUCCUCAUGCACUCAAAGUCAAGCCCCUGAGAAAUGGAAUCACUUAGAGGUAAUCAAAGCUUUUGGUAGAAAAACAUAACUUUGAUGCUAAGAGCAUGGAAGAAAGAAAUUAUAUAGGCUGGGAACCAUGUACCACAGCUCUUAGAGAGAGUGGAGAUUAUAAAGAAUUGAAAAGAAAUCAAGAAACAGGAAACAAAAGUCUAAUAACUAAAUCUACUAGGCCAUAGAUUAACUUAAUGUUUCGAUGGUACUAGACAAAAUUUUCUAGGCUAUAGAGUAUUAAGACAAUAAUAAUUUUUACUAAACCUAUGGUACCUGGUACUUUGUAUCACUGCUGCCCAUGUGUUUUUUAGAAAUCUCCACUUCUCUGGGAUUCUAGUGGAGAGAGUAGACAGGCUCACAAAGCUUCCUGAACAUCGAAUUUCUCUUACAAAACAAUAGUUUGUCGAAUUACAUGCCAACUAAACAGAUGGAUUACAUUUCCCUCUCAAUGUGCACAAAUUAAAAAAUUAAAGAGAAAAAGUACUUGGUAAAGCCAGCUUUGUAUUUUGCUGCAUCAGAAACAUUUAGGGAAAUGGUUUGAAAUGUUUGGCUAAAGCCCAGUGCCACCAAGCCCUCCUGGCUCCAGACACCAGUCCCAUUGACCGAAAAUUUCUAUUAAGCAAACAAAUGGGUGAGUGGUUUGUUGCUGAUUUCCCCACAAGUGUGGAGCAUGAAAUGUAAUAUUCCUGGAAGGAUAAACACUGUGUGCUUCAUAUUUUUACAAAGAUGGGUAGAGACAGUUACCAGGACAGUUUAGAAGUAAUAUUAACUGAGAAAUUUUCUAAAGAGGUCACCUUUAUCUGUUAAUAGAGAAAUUGAAAAUGAAGCUCAUAGCAACAACAAAAAACACUAUAGAAAUUGGUAUAGUAAGGUCUUAAUUGCCUAAAGUUCAACAACUAUGAAUAAAAUUAUUG
rnacentral:lncRNA from 1 species